rnacentral:tRNA from 1 species
AUUCUUUUAGUAUUAAUAAGUACGGUUGACUUCCAAUCAACUAGUCUUGGUGUUAGCCCAAGAAAGAAUA